GAUGUGUAUAAUUGGACGAGCAGUUAGAUGUAAAUAUAUAUAUAACUGUACGCGAAUGAUCAUUCACGGUGAAACUAUUUGCACGAAAUCGAUCUUUAAUAUCGAGUAUAUAUUUUUCAAUUCUUUCAAUUGAAAAUAUCUGGCGAAAGUGGAUAGUGGAUACGAGUCGGUUGAAUUCUCGAUCGAUGGAAAGAAAGGAGGAUCGAUGUUCGGCGCACCUGCGGGCGACCAUUUUAUUCGAGACCUCGAGAAUAAUGCGAUGUGAAUCCGGCAAAUAGAGCGGGGCCGUGACACCCAAUCGGCCACUCCUCGUUACGCAACGCGUAUGAGGAGAAAGCAAGAAGAAAGAACACCCGUUCCGCGACCACUUUCUACCUUGAGAGUACGUUUCGGCCAACGAGCGCGUUACGUUAACGUUACGUCGCUUCGUAACGUCAUUCCGAUAGAAUUGGUAGAUUAGUAAAAAAAAGACAAACAUUCGCAUUCCCACUUUUCACUUUUUCCAAGUUCGUUGCCCGAAGAAGAGGAACAAAAAGAGAAGAGGGGAAGGAGAAAAUCCGAUAAAAUCUUGAUAAAAUAAACGAGCGGGUGGAUCGAAAAUUCCCCCGCGGAUCUGUCUAAAUGUCAGAUAACUUUCUACGGAGUCGGAGAGACUCGUGCGAGCACGCUUUUAAUCGGGAAAUAGCGGAGACCACGAACGAUACGGCGAGAACCACCUGUUGCUCGAUCGACGAGUUCCUUUCGGAAUGUUUCAUAACCGGAACUGGCUUUCGGUGAUUUCUAACGAGGAAUCUGUCAUCCGAUGGAACUUCUCGCUCAAUUGCUAUCGAUUAUCGCUGCCUAACUCGAUCCGUACGAGAGAAAGCAUUAAUUCUUUUCUUAAUGCUCGAGUCUAUGUUGUGGAGUGGAUUAUUAUCGCACGUUUGACGCGUAUCGAUCGGCUCGUUUUUUCGGAUGGAACGAUCGGCUUAUUUACAUUCGAGUUGCUGUGACAUUUGAACGGCUCCAUCGCGAUGACUUCACCCCCUUCGUUUUAUUACCGUUACUCAUUCCGAUAUCGGCGAGACCUUUUAAAGAACCAGACGAUAUACCACGCGGUAUAUAACGGGCCAUGAAUUUUAAUUUCGACUUCGAGAAAAAUAUUUUAUUCCGCGAAUCCCCGACGAAUAAUAAAGUUUAGGAAAACGAGCACGUCGGGACGAAAACCUGUAUAUAUCGAAUACGUUGGAUCUCGAGGGAAACAAAGGAAGAGAGGUAAGAAUCUCGGUCUCGGGGAUCGUUCGAUAUUCCAGGCACGCGGGGACGAAAGAAAGAAGGGAACGGGAGAUGGUUAAUUUUAACCUUGAAGAUCCAGAAUCUCUGUGUAAGUCCAGUAGUUAUAAACCAGUUGCAAAGGUGAACGGGAUGGAUUCGUGCGUCAUUGUAACGAGGGUUCGAUCUCCGCCUAUGAGAAAUUUGUUCUCGAUUAAAUUACCAGCGAAUCGAAGAAACGAUAAUUGCUCGAUCGAGAUCGAUUUUUAAGAUCGAUCGAGCGGAAUGAAAAUCGAAGUCGAGUUAGCUCGAUUAUUUUUACAACUGUGAACCAGUUGACUUUUUUUACGGGGAAAUCGAUCGUAAAAUUGAAAAUAAAUACGUUCCACGUAUUCACCCUGUUGCGCACGAAAGCAAAGUGGAUUCGAUCUGUCGCCGAUGGAUAAAUCCAACGUGGCUCGGUCACUUUUACUUUUCAUGGAAUUCGCUCUCAGGUCUCUUGAAGGAUUCCACAGGACGCAUAGAAUUUUCGAUUUCGAAAUUCCAACACGGGACAAAGCCUUUACAAAACAACCGUGGUGAUGUCGAGAUCGUCGAGAGGCUCAAGUCGAGCACAUCGCGCACUGUGCCGUUAACGUAGGACGCGACGUUACCAGCGCACCCGACGAACGCGCCGAAAGGACACCCGAGAGCAACC